GUGAAAUUUGGUUUCUAGAAACUGGGGCCUUUUGUUAUGAAUACAGAAUAUCAAUGCACUUGUAUAUUGGGGGGCAGAUCUCAGCCUCUCCCUGUGUCCUUUCACUCUAGGAAAGUGAGUGAAAGGACAUCUACAUCCUCCUCCUUCCCACUCCACCUGAGCCACCUACGCCUCUUCAGGGGGCCCCAAGGGACCUACCUUAAUCCAGAUCAAGUGAGUGAAGCCUGGGAUCCUGGAUCUCAAGCGGUCUCCUCUACGACCCCCUCCUUCCCUCCCAUGUUAGCCUCUACCACCCCCAGGGACAAGGAACACACCCAAAUCCAGGUAACGUGGAAAAGGUUGGGUGAUCUUGAUUUCAAGUUGGGUCCAACAUUGACGGCUGCUGACUGAGUCAAAAACUGCUCACUUGAUUUCAAUAGGGGUGUGGGGUGGGGUUGUGUCACAUCUGUGGGUAAUUGCCCUGAUGCCCUUGAGAUAGGCAGAGAGUG
rnacentral:lncRNA from 1 species